rnacentral:lncRNA from 1 species
AUUCUGAGGAAAUUGUAAUUAAUCAUAGAUAUUUCAUAAUUUUUUUUAUUCAGCACAUGCAUAUCAGCCUCAUUAGUAGCUUUUGCCUUUGGUGGCAUAAAAUAUGUUUCAAAAUUGAAACUAUAUAUUUUCCAUCCAAUCUCAAUUUAACUUUUACAAAUUCUAAUUCCCAAUGGUUCAGUUCAAUAAAUCUUCAAAACAGGAGCAAAUUCAAACAAGCGUAAACUUUAUUAGGUAACAAUAUAUCAUAAAUGUAGUACAUAUGUCAGCUGGAUACUAUUUUAAAAUAUCUAAAAUUGGUUCAUCACUUAUUUAAAGAAGGAACCUUUUAAAAAAUAAAAUACAAAAAUUCACAUUUUACUUUAAAAAAUGUGAAAUUUGCUCAAAAAACACAAUAAAAGGACACAAAACUUACAAUUUCAGUUCACUAAACUUAUUCAUCAAUAAAGUCACCAACAAGAAUCAACAAAAAAAAAAAUGAUUACGCUAAUUUGUAUAGAAAUCCGUGAGGGGACUAAACAAUCUCAGAAUCCUUGUACAGUUUUGGCCAUGAGCCACUGUAAUUUCUUCUUCAAUAGAGGCAAAGAGUGAACUUUAACUGGCAAAGAGUGGAAUUUAACUGGAUCCCACCUUGAAGAAGCGUGGAGAAACAACACUGGUAUUCCGCGCUGCGCGGAGU